GAGAGCGAGCUCAGUCCCAGGAGGAUGCUGAAGGCAAGGAGGCGGCUCUCGGGUGCUGUGCCAGGGCAGUGAUGGUGCUCCCAUGCAGGACUCCUCGGCUGCGGGGGAUCCUCUGCUCUCCGUGCUCAGCCGGCUGCGAGGCUUCCAAGUUUUGUUCAGUUAUUCCUGAGUUUGGAAGAUAAAGAGUAGGUAGACCAAGACAAUGACUCAGAGAUGGAUUAGAAGAACAAACUGGAUUGCUAAAUCUUUGGGGGAAGAAGACUAUAUGUUCCUGGGCUUGUAUAGAAACCAGGAGACACAUGCCAUAAUUCUGGUGUAUGAAAUAAGAAGCGAGGUCUUCCCAGCCACUGCGUUGAACCAGACUGCCCAAACCCAGCAGCGUGUUUGUCUUGGAGCAAUGCAGGGCUCAAUACAAAUGUUACUUGACCUAGAAAAUGAGGGCUCACAAGGAAAAGGAGAAGCCUUUCAAUAUUUUGAUGAAUCUUGUGAAACGGAUGCAUUUCCUGGGAAGACUGUCAAAAGAGUAAAUUUCAGUGAUGGCUUGCCCCACUCCUACGAUUAUUCCUAUGGUCAAAAUAAUUGCCUGAUGUACAAAUAG
rnacentral:lncRNA from 1 species